rnacentral:rRNA from 1 species
UAGGGAAUAUUGCACCAUGGGCGAAAGCCUGAUGCAGCAACGCCGCGUGAGUGAUGAAGGCCCUCGGGUCGUAAAACUCUUUUCAAGAGGAAGAGGAAGGACGGUACUCUUGGAAUAAGCCUCGGCUAACUACGUGCCAGCAGCCGCGGUAACACGUAGGAGGCGAGCGUUAUUCGGAUUUACUGGGCGUAAGGCGCGUGUAGGCGGCUUAUUAAGUUGGAUGUGAAAGCUCCUGGCUUAACUGGGAGAGGACGUUCAAAACUAGUAAGCUUGAGUACGAGAGAGGAAAAUGGAAUUCCGGGUGUAGUGGUGAAAUGCGUAGAUAUCCGGAGGAACACCAGUGGCGAAGGCGAUUUUCUGGCUCGAGACUGACGCUCAGACGCGAAAGCUAGGGUAGCA